rnacentral:tRNA from 1 species
GUAAACAUAGUUUAAUAAAAACGUUAGAUUGUGAUUCUAAAAAUAGGGGAUAAAAACUCCUUGUCUACC